GCUAAAAUAUAACAUCAGACACCAACUUUCUCACUAACCUAUCCACGGCAGAUGCUCUUAUAACCAAGUUCCUAGUCAUCAUCGUCUGCCUUCCUAUGUAAGCACACAGACAGAGCAAACAAAAAUGGAUCAAUUACUACCAGUCGAAAUUCUCAUCGACAUACUCUCAAGCCUCCCCAUCAAAUCUCUGAUUCAAUGCAGAAACUCACGGGAUAAAGGCUGAGGAUUUGAUUGGAAGUCUUAUAAGCUGGCCAUAUCCACAAAUUUGAUGAACUAGGAAGGAAAACCGGCUUCCUUUAAUAAGAAGGUAUUAUGGUCCCUAUUUGCGAGGAGCUAGAGGUGUUUCUCAUGAAGAAGCUGCAGAUUCAGCCCUGUUUGACAAGCUAGAGGUUGUCUUCUUGAGAGAAAGCCAACAUGUUGGUAGUAAGUUGAUAAUAUCCUUUCCAAUCUUUUUGCUUUCUAAUCAUCUUUAGAGUAAGACUUUUAAUUGCUUAAAUGAUGCAGAAGUGACUGCAUUUCCAAGUUGUUUUUGCUUUAUUUUUCUUUACUUUUUGUUUUCAUUCUCUCAAGUGAAGUUGAUGUAAGUUGCUUUUUGAAACAAUUAUCAAAUAAAUUAAUAUGUUUUGGUAAGAAGAGAAUUGUUAAGGACUGCAGCUUCACGCCUGUUGGAAUCAGACUGCUCGUUGUCAUUGAGAAAGCCUCAUCCGAAAUUGCAAUUUAGUUUCAUUUGUUACUUCAACAGAUCCAUUCACUGAUGCUGCAAGUUAUACAUUGAUUGAUUGAGAGAGAGAAAAAAAAAAAAAAUUAAUAAAAAAAAAAAAAAAAAAAAAAAAAAAAAGGAAGAAGAGGAAGAAGUGAACUGAGCUGAUAUGUAUAUGAUUUGGUUCCACGUCUAAAACUUGAAAUCAAAGUAAUGUAUAAUAACUGACUUAUUUUUUUUUUCAUCUUUCUAAUAAUUCAUAUAAAAAAAGGAAUUUCAAUGGAAAAGGGGCACUAAAGGCUAUAAUGAAAUACUAUCAUCUCCUCUUCACUUAUUUGUAACUGCUCAUCAUUCAAUACAAAACAUAGACCUUCAAUAGAAUCAACACAAGUAUAUAUCAGCGGGGAAAAGUUGUCAAAUCUUAUGACCUUUGAAACAAAGCACAGCAUAAAAAUCCUAAUGAAUAAUUCUAUUCCUAUAGUGCCAUGAUCACACUACGUUUUCAGGCCACUGAAAUGUUUUGUUCACUUACAACCUAAUAGCAUAACAGUUAUGCCUUGUAAAAAUAUUAGUAUGGUGGCAUAAAAUGUAAAAGAAAGUAUUUCUCAACCUUCAGCCUACACAUCACAACCAUUACCUAAAUUUAGGUUUGAAUGCACUGUAAGUUUAAAAUCUUCAUCCCUAGAUCAAAUGUAACGGCGAUUUUGAAGCAGUUGGCCUCUUGCACUGCAAGAUGAAGACUUCAUAAGCUGAAGAGCUCCAGUUCUUUAUAGUUAUACUUGUGGCAUUCUUCAUUUCACUUUUAUUGGCAAAUGGCAAUAGGAAUCAGAAGUUCAAGUUCAUAUUGGAGGUGUGAAAGUUUCAUGCCAUAGUAAAUUUUGAUACAAUGAUCAGAACUGUUGUAAAUCUAAGAUUCGAAUCUUUUUGACAAGAUUUGGAAAACAUUGACCUUUACGUUGCUUCUUGGUCAUCAAAUUUGCAGGAAAUGAGCUUAUUGUUUCCAAAAUGGAAUCAAAAACUCAAUUUAAAUGAAAGAUGCUUACUGGGGGAAGGGAAAUAUUGAUAACCUUGUUGAGUUUCAACAGCUUAAAUGAACUAGAAAGCUGCAGGGGAGUUAUUAAUUAUUUGGAAUCACAUAGAAGAUGAUCUCAUGAAUAAUGUGCCACAAAGUAGUCUUGCUUAAACUAUUUUUAUCUUGCCUUUUCGUGUUUUUGAUUGGAGCAGUGGUGGAUACGGUUUUAUCCAUUCAAAUCCUUAAGAUUAAAUGGAAGACAGAAAUUCUUAGAUUCAAUCCUGAUCAGUUGUAGGCAUAUGUCCUUGUUUCCAUGUGGUCAUUAUCUGGUUUGAAUUUGAUUCCUCCAUCAACAGAAGAUAAGCUAAUGUGGCAAGCAAUAGCCAAAUAUUUCAACAAGAAAGAGAGUGGGCGCAGGAAUGAUCAUCAACCUUUGAACAAACAUUGGGCAAAUAAUUGAAAACAGGGAAAAGUUAACAUACAGCUUUAGUAUUUAUCAAGACUUCUGAUAUAUUGGUGUGUCAAUUCCUUGAGUGGACAUUUAUUAGGGUCAAUUCUUCAAUUAGUGGAGCUAUUAGGUCAAACACCAAUCUCGACUUUGACUGGGCUUAAAACCGUAAAUUCAAAAGCCUUCACUCUUAAGGUAAUCUGUCUUCAAGAGUGAAGAGUGGUGAAUACUGAAAGACUUUCAUUCAAUCCCUUUCUCCAUCCACUCAAUAUUAGAUUUGGACUCAUUUGAAGAGUUGAAAGUGCUUCCAGCAAGGAAAUCAUGUUUCAGCUUGUAUGAAAAGAUUGUGAAGGGAAUCAGAGUUUAGCACUUAAACAAUCUCCUUUAUUAAGAAAGAGAUAAUGAUAGGACUUCCAUAAAGCUAUGCAGAAUCAAUUGACAAGAGGUCAAUAAUUAUGUGAAUUGCUCAACAAUCCCAAUCAGCUUAUCUUACGGUGGAAGAACAGAUAAUGACUAUUUAUACCGGAACUAGUAAAAUUGGAACGUACACAAUUCAUUGAAUUAGAAGCCUUUGCACAAUUCACUUCCAAUCUUAAUAAAGCUAUGCAGAAUCAAUUGACAAGAGGUCAACAAUUAUGUGAAUUGCUCAACAAUCCCAAUCAGCUCAUCUUACGAUGGAAGAACAGAUAAUGACUAUUUAUACCGGAACAAAUGGUUAUCUUGAUUCACUAGAAGUUGGACAGAUAAGUAAUUUUCUUGUUGAGUUACAUACUUAUAUUGUCAUCCAUCAUGUGCCCUUCCUCACCCACCCAACCUCACCCCUAUCAGUUCAGUCAAGUCUAAGUCAUGACUCACUUUUCAACUUCCAUGAUUUCACGAGGUCACUGUCCAGGACCAGUGUGACUGUGCAACGUAGAAAGGCAUUCUUGGUGUUCUCUCUCUACGGCAGGGAUUAGGCUUGUGUGGCUUGUAUUUUGAUGCUCUGCCCACACAAUUGUUGUCAAGGUGCCCUGCAGAUUGUCAACGGUCACAUCCACAGCUCAAUUCACUUGAGGAAAAAGAAGAUGCCCACCUGGAGGGGUGCUAAUUGGCUCACAGCUCAUGAUAAAUUAUUUCAAAACUUUGGACCAAUGACUUCUGAAUCUCUAGCGAAGAACACACGACCAUAAGAGUGAUGAUGAGUUCCUACAUCAAGAUAGCGUAGCGCAUGCUAUCGUUAACCAUGAGAUGGUUCAUCUCCGAUAUGCGAGCCAACUCACUCGACACCCACACUCCAUCAGCACCAUUGACGUGAGGAUGAGAAAGGCAGGAGAAGAGCGAGAGUGGAGCCCGAACAGCGCUGCAAAUGACCGAAAACACACUCCAACCUGACCGUCUUCUAUCCAUCCCGCGUCCAAACAUUGGCAAUUCAGCUCCAUUCCCAUCACCAAACAUGGUCUCGUCAGCCACCCGGGGACUCUUCCUUAUGUUCUGGACGUUUCGCUUCAUCAACUCCAGCAUACGACGCAUAUCUAUCUCUGGAAGAGGAAGAUGAGAGUGUGCUUGCAGCUUGCACUUGGGUUAGUAUUUUGAAGAGAUGGGUUGGGAGGCUUAGCUUGAUAUAUGGGUUGUUGUGAUAAAUGGGGAUGUUUGUUGUUGAUGGUGUUGAUAGUGCUAGUGCUUAUCGCAAAGGUUUAUGGGUGGUGCUUUUUCUCAGGACUUUCACUUGUGCAUUUUUUUUAAAAAAAAAAUUUGAUUUAAAUUUUUUUUUUCUUCUAUAUUUGUGGGGUCUUUCAAAGGCCAACUUGCCGACAAAGCUGCCUAAUUUUGCACAAAGAGCUUUGUGUAUUGGAAUAUUUGAGCCAUCUCUUUCACUAGAUUUAGCAAAAUACUCGAGAAAUUUAUGGUACUAGUGUAACCCAUCUGAGUACAAAUUAAUGGAAGACAAUACGGUUUUGUGUGGAUUCAACAAUA